CGUAGCUGGCGGACGCAGGCGUUGCACGGGGCUGUCUCCAAUCACCAUCUCACCCCCUGGCGAUGUCGAACGGUGUGGUGCAGUGGAGGCAGGAGCUGAGGCGCCCGCAGCUGAAGAGCUGGCGCAGCUCUCGGCAGCUCUGCGCUGCCAGUAGUUCAGCACCUGCUGCGAAGGCGGGCUGUCUGGGAGGAUGUAGGAGGGUGAACUCAUCUCGUAUGCUUACUCUCUGCUGUCUCUGAUGUAAAUGGUAAUUUUCCUCUCAUCGCUCGUGUUUAUAUAGCAUUCGUUUCUCUCUCUGUUCCAGACACGUGCGAGCGAGAGCGUGGCACAAGACGAAAAAAAUUCGAAUUCUCCCCAACAACAACACGUGCUCUCAGAUCGUUAUCAGAUUCAUUUUCUCACCUCUCAACUCGAGUUCCGAACCUCAUAACCAGUUGAGCUCUCGUCAAGACAACACAGCUGAGAGGAAUCAUAGGGUGGUCACCUGAGAGGAAUCAAUCAUAGCAUAAUCAUCUACACCUGUAUCCUGCUAUCUACACCUCUAGCCUGCUAUCUACACUCGAGGAGAUUCACGCAACAUCAAGCACUACAUAAUCAUGCCGAGGGAACGCAGACUUCGUGGUAUCAAUUCCGCAGCAGUCCGUCAUCGCAUCAGCCUCGAUGAGGAGGAGGAUAUCGACAUCAGCAGUGUGCUCGAGAGCUCGAAACGUCGAGUUUUCGAUAUAAUUAGGGAACAUGCCGCACGCUAUGAUGGCAAUGUUAAGUGGUUCAUCGUCCUCAAUGUUUUGCUGUAUAAAUUAGUGGUGAUGGAUGACAAGCAGGUUGGUGACUCUGUCUCAUCUCUAAUAAAUCUACAUAGUUACUCCAACAUAGCACUAAAUGUGCUUGAGAACUAUGAAGAGUUUAAUGAGCAUUUCAUGUUAGCUGUGAGAAAAAUUCUCUCAUCUUUUGAAAAUUUUGUAAGAUAUGGGAGUGGAUGGGUGCUAAAGAAAAUUGAAUCACUGGAUGUGAAUGUGAUUAAAUUUAAUCCUAUAUACACAUCCAGUUUCAUUCAGACA